rnacentral:rRNA from 1 species
AUACGGAGGGUGCAAGCGUUAUUCGGAAUCACUGGGCGUAAAGGACGCGUAGGCGGGUUGGCAAGUCAGACGUGAAAUCCUACAGCUUAACUGUAGAACUGCAUUUGAAACUGCUAACCUAGAGUAUGGGAGGGGGAGAUGGAAUUAGUGGUGUAGGGGUAAAAUCCGUAGAUAUCACUAGGAAUACCGAAAGCGAAGGCGAUCUCCUGGAACAUAACUGACGCUAAGGCGUGAAAGCGUGGGGAGCAAACAGGAUUAGAAACCCUUGUAGUCC